AAGUGUGUUUCUUAAUUUCGUAGCCGAAGGAUUUUGCAAUUAGCAAACUUCAUAGCUAGCUCAGCGAUUUCAUGUGGAUUUUUCCAAGGUGCCCAAGAAGAUGUUUGGUCCAAACGCUAAAAACGGUUUAUAGAAGAGAAAUUGAUCAAGCUAUAAGCUUUCAUGGAUUUCAGCCCUCUCUUCGGGAAGAACAGUAAUGUAUUCCUCGCAGAGAGCCGUUG
rnacentral:misc_RNA from 1 species